CAUGUAGGCGGCAUGACAAGUCUGGUGUGAAAUAUCUCGGCUCAACCGAGAAAACGCACUGGAAACUGUCAAGCUUGAGUAUCGGAGGGGAAGCUAGAAUUCCUGGUGUAGGGGCGAAAUCUGUAGAUAUCAGGAAGAAUACCGGUGGCGAAGGCGAGCUUCUGGCCAGAUACUGACGCUGAGAUGCGAAAGCGUGGGGAGCGAACAGGAUUAGAUACCCUGGUAGUCC
rnacentral:rRNA from 1 species